AACGCGAAGAACCUUACCAGGUCUUGACAUCCUCUGAAAACCCUAGAGAUAGGGCUUCUCCUUCGGGAGCAGAGUGACAGGUGGUGCAUGGUUGUCGUCAGCUCGUGUCGUGAGAUGUUGGGUUAAGUCCCGCAACGAGCGCAACCCUUGAUCUUAGUUGCCAUCAUUAAGUUGGGCACUCUAAGGUGACUGCCGGUGACAAACCGGAGGAAGGUGGGGAUGACGUCAAAUCAUCAUGCCCCUUAUGACCUGGGCUACACACGUGCUACAAUGGACGGUACAAAGAGCUGCAAGACCGCGAGGUGGAGCUAAUCUCAUAAAACCGUUCUCAGUUCGGAUUGUAGGCUGCAACUCGCCUACAUGAAGCUGGAAUCGCUAGUAAUCGCGGAUCAGCAUGCCGCGGUGAAUACGUUCCCGGGCCUUGUA
rnacentral:rRNA from 1 species